rnacentral:rRNA from 1 species
AAAGCGAAUAGUGAAAUCUGGGGGCUCAACCUCACAGGCUAUUAUUCGAACUCACUGACUCGAGAACAGCAGAGGUAACUGGAAUUUCUGAAGUAGGGGUAAUAUCCGUAGAUAUCAGAAGGAACACCAAUGGCGUAGGCAGGUUACUGGACCAUUUCUGACACUGAGGCACGAAAGCGUGGGGAGCGAACGGGAUUAGAUACCCCGGUAGUCCACGCCGUAAACGAUGGAUGCUA